UCCCAUCCCCUGCGCUGCUACCUUCCUGAUGGGUUCCAGAAUUUGUCAGUGGGAGGGAAGUAGAUACCCUGACUAGACAGCUGGAUCUGAAGGCUGGAUCCCCAGUGUGGAAAGCAUAGGAGAGAGAAGACUUAUGAAGGCUCAUCAAAAGUCAUCAUGAACACACCUUUCUGCAGUUCUUUGAAUAGGUUGUAGGUUCUCAUCCAUCGGGUUGCAGCGCAAAUUAACUCCUCUCUGAUGGAAAGAGCCUGUAUCUUGAGCCGACUGGUGACCGCAUGGCUUAUACCAGGAGCUCCCCACAGGGGUGAUAUUGCCUCUCAGAAGACAUCCAGCUGAGUCUGGAGACAUUUCUGAUUGUCACAAAAGGGCGAGGGAGGAGUGCUCUCGGCACCUGCUCCAGGACAUAGUCAUCUGCCUGUGACGCUGGCAACUGUGGCUGCCAAUUUUAGGACGUUGAGGGAGGAGCCUAAGAGGGUAUUGCAAUACACCGGAUGGCAGAACAAAAGUGAGGAUGGACCCAGUGUCCCCGGAGACAUAGCCAAGUCCCUGUAUGAACCAGUCUGGAUGACCUCGCCCUUGGACUUCUCGUCACGUGAAAGAAAAAUUGUCCUCAUUGUUUAAGCUACGUUUAGUAGUUGUUUUUGUUUCUGUUUUUAUUUUUUGAUACUUGCAGCCCCAAACACUCAAACUAAUACUGUGGGUAAAAUUUCCAUUUAUAAAGCGGGGGA